UACAGAGGCCUCAAGCGUUGUUCGGAUUCAUUGGGCGUAAAGGGUGCGCAGGCGGUCGGGUAAGUCGGAUGUGAAAUCCUGGGGCUCAACCUCAGAACUGCAUUCGAUACUGCUUGGCUAGAGGAUUGGAGAGGAGAGUGGAAUUCACGGUGUAGCAGUGAAAUGCGUAGAGAUCGUGAGGAAGACCAACGGCGAAGGCAGCUCUCUGGACAAUUCCUGACGCUCAGGCACGAAGGCCAGGGGAGCAAACGGGGAUUAGAAAACCCUGAG
rnacentral:rRNA from 1 species